UCUCCGUAGGUGAACCUGCGGAGGGAUCAUUACAAACGUUUUCAAACGUUUAUCAAACCAAACAUCCGUGAACUAAAACCUCCCUCGGCAGUCUAGAUCGAACGAACAGCUAAGGUGGAGUGGGAUACGGAAUACGACCCGUAUUAACAGUACGAGAAACGGUUCCUCCCGCUGCGACGCGUUCUAGGAGCCCUCGAGCUCCAUUCUACUGUCGAGUGUCAUUUUGCCACCACCUGGGAGACUACGAUCUCCAUCUCUCUUUUGAGAGAUGCGAGCUCUCAUAGCAUCUUCCGAAUUUCUCACACAUUUUUAACCCCAUUAAAACUCAUACUAAUAAACUGAACCUUAUUCUUGAUUGUGUUAGUUAAUUCUGACGCAUCUAGAAAGAUAUACGGAAUGCUGAACAACUCUUAGCAAUGGAUAUCUUGGUUCUC
rnacentral:misc_RNA from 1 species